AUGACUGAAACCAUUACUCUCACUUCACUCUCUAUGUUCACUCUCUCCCCGUUCGCCACUUUCUUCUUUCUGCGUUCACUCUCUCCCCGUUCGCCUCUUUCUUUCUCCUUUCUCCUUCAUUUCACCCUAAAUCACUUCACUCUCACGUUCCCUCACGUCUUCGUUUGCUCUCCGUUUCUCCUUUCUCCUUCCUUCGCCUCCAUUUGCGCCUCAGUCCACGAUUGCCGCCGUUCGCAUUUGCUCGAUUGGGUUAUUCAACCUCGUUCUGAAGGAGAAAGGUUCGAUUGCUCGCAUUUGCGCCUCAGUCCACUCCUUUUCUGUUUCUGGGUUUUCUGUUUGAUUCCUUCGCGCGAAUGUGAAUUUGAGUGUGAAUGUGAAUGGGGAAUCAGAAGCAUAAGUGGACGCAAGACGAAGAAGACGCGCUCAUCGCCGGAGUUGAAAAGCACGGUUUCGGAAAGUGGAAGAACAUUCUCAAAGAUCCCCAAUUCGCCCCUUUUCUCACUUCUCGUUCCAACAUCGACCUCAAGGUCCAGAAGUACACUAAAAGAUUAGUAUGGGUUCUUCAAUAGUAUUUUUCAGCAGUCUCUUCGUGGACAUGAUGGGGAUGCCCUCUAGGCAAAUUCCCAUGGUCAUAUGAAGAAAAAGAGAUUUACUAUCUUGUGGAAGGAAAAGUGAAGGUGUGGGUUAAAUGAAUCAGUUCAAAUUUCUGCUGGUGACUUUGUUGUGUUUCCCAAAGGGAUGAGUUGCACUUGAGAUGUGCCUGUUGGUGUGGACAAGCACUAUAAAUUUGAAUAAAUCCUAUAAAAGAUCUAAUCCAAGUGUUUUCUGAGUUACUAAGGCAUAUCAAUUUCAUACAACAUAGCGAUCAAUUGGGUUUGAAACUGCACCAUAUAUUGAAAGUGGUGUGCCAUCUCUGCAUGAAAUACUAGGAUCAAGUGGUGGAAGCAAAACACCUUAGACUUAGGACUUUUAAUGUUGUCUUUUUUUCUUCCUUAGAUGCUUGAAUAUUUUGGUACUCUUAAUGUUGUCUUUUUUUUUUUUCCAAAUGCUUGAAUUGGUGCUUUGAUGUAGUUAUGUUAUAUUGACAAUGAAUCAAUUUAGUUUA